AUUACUCCAAUCUACGUCAUGUAUGUAGGGUUAACCAUCGCCGCAGUUCUCUUUGUGAUGGGAAUCAUGGUGCUUGGUUGUGGCAAAGUGAAACGAAUCCCACGGUGUCAUAUUGGCAAAGGAAGUUCAUACGAGGUGACCAGAAGUUAACACUUUCCCCGGCAUUGAUCAGCUGGCCCAGCAAAUAAACAGAAGAACAGCAGAACACCCAGUCAGUCCUGUUUCCACAGCGGUUACAGACUUACAUUUCCCCCUUGUGAGAACAACAUCAUAAGGACAAGAUGGAGAGUUUGUGUGUGUGUGUGUGUGUGUGAGUGAGCGUGUUCAUUAUUUCAAACUGAUCUCCAGGAUUGUCACAGAGGCGCCGGGGAAUAAGAUGUGUGCUAUCGUGCUGCACUAAACGCCAGCAGUAACACACCGGCUGGGACUUUGGCAGAUCCCAACGUAAUCACGCAUCACAGACACAAAAUCCCUUCAUCCCUCUGCUCUCCUGCACCAAACUGCUUGGUUUAAGCGUCAAACUUUGUACAAUACAGGCCUGUACUUGUGUUUUAUUAUUAUUAUUAUUUCAAUACUUUGCAUCCUCAGAUGUGUCAAUCUUUGUGUAGCUCACAAGCGCCCUCAAGAGGCCUUCAGACACAUUUAUUAUGAGAUCUCCCAAGAGGAGAAGAAUAAAAACAAUUUGCCUGAGUCU